GACGAACGCUGGCGGCGCGCCUAACACAUGCAAGUCGAACGAGCGAGAGGGAGCUUGCUUUCUUGAGCGAGUGGCGAACGGGUGAGUAACGCGUGAGGAACCUGCCUCAAAGAGGGGGACAACAGUUGGAAACGACUGCUAAUACCGCAUAAGCCCACAGCUCGGCAUCGAGCAGAGGGAAAAGGAGCAAUCCGCUUUGAGAUGGCCUCGCGUCCGAUUAGCUAGUUGGUGAGGUAACGGCCCACCAAGGCAACGAUCGGUAGCCGGACUGAGAGGUUGAACGGCCACAUUGGGACUGAGACACGGCCCAGACUCCUACGGGAGGCAGCAGUGGGGAAUAUUGCACAAUGGGGGAAACCCUGAUGCAGCGACGCCGCGUGGAGGAAGAAGGUCUUCGGAUUGUAAACUCCUGUUGUUGAGGAAGAUAAUGACGGUACUCAACAAGAAA
rnacentral:rRNA from 1 species